UACGUAGGGUGCAAGCGUUGUCCGGAAUUAUUGGGCGUAAAGAGCUCGUAGGCGGUCUGUCGCGUCGGCUGUGAAAUCCCGGAGCUCAACUCCGGGUCUGCAGUCGAUACGGGCAAACUGGAGUACUGCAGGGGAGACUGGAAUUCCUGGUGUAGCGGUGAAAUGCGCAGAUAUCAGGAGGAACACCGGUGGCGAAGGCGGGUCUCUGGGCAGUAACUGACGCUGAGGAGUGAAAGCGUGGGGGAGCGAACAGG
rnacentral:rRNA from 1 species